CUUGCUUCUCUUGAGAGCGGCGGACGGGUGAGUAAUGCCUAGGAAUCUGCCUGGUAGUGGGGGAUAACGUUCGGAAACGGACGCUAAUACCGCAUACGUCCUACGGGAGAAAGCAGGGGACCUUCGGGCCUUGCGCUAUCAGAUGAGCCUAGGUCGGAUUAGCUAGUUGGUGGGGUAAUGGCUCACCAAGGCGACGAUCCGUAACUGGUCUGAGAGGAUGAUCAGUCACACUGGAACUGAGACACGGUCCAGACUCCUACGGGAGGCAGCAGUGGGGAAUAUUGGACAAUGGGCGAAAGCCUGAUCCAGCCAUGCCGCGUGUGUGAAGAAGGUCUUCGGAUUGUAAAGCACUUUAAGUUGGGAGGAAGGGUUGUAGAUUAAUACUCUGCAAUUUUGACGUUACCGACAGAAUAAGCACCGGCUAACUCUGUGCCAGCAGCCGCGGUAAUACAGAGGGUGCAAGCGUUAAUCGGAAUUACUGGGCGUAAAGCGCGCGUAGGUGGCUUGUUAAAGUUGGAUGUGAAAUCUCCGGGCUCAACCUGGGAACUG
rnacentral:rRNA from 1 species